GGGGGGGGGGGGAGGUCCCUCAGCCUGGAUUGCAAGAGGGCACAGGCCAGUCCGAGGGAUCCCACCAGUGCAUG
rfam:Myotis davidii contig77918, whole genome shotgun sequence.